rnacentral:hammerhead_ribozyme from 1 species
GGCUAGUGACGAGUCCUAAAUAGGACGAAACGCGCGUCCUGGAU